GACUGUUCCUGCCGCCUGCAUCAGGAGGGUUUCUGCACUGCCUCAGCACCAAGAACCUCAGCUGUGACACGUAUCAACAGAUACUGAGGGAGUUCAGCAAUCAAUUUGACCAAAUGGACCAGAAGAGACAAGAGCUGGUGGUCAAAUACUUCAUCCAGCCCUUCCUGACCAAAAACUCCUCAGACUCUGGCUGUGUGUCCAACUCUAACAGCAGUGUGGACUGGCUGCAGAAGAACUUGGGGCGGUUUUCAGUCCUGCUGUCCCUUAGCGACCUG